UUGACUGCAACAAGGAGAAGAUGCCAAUGAAACAUUUGCUCCAGAUUGAAAACAUCAUUCGAGAAAACCAAAUCAAUUUGGAAGAAGCUCCCUUUGCUCUAGUAAUUAUCAAUUCACAACAAAAGAUUCUCCAAAAUUGAAGAAGACACAGAAAAAGUAAAAGAAAAAAAGGAUCUUUCGAUCCCAACCCAAGUCAAGUCUAUGUUUUUUCCCCCCUUUUUGGCAAGUUCUUCUCCGAUUACUCCUUCCUGGAGUCACUCAAAAUUCCUCAAGAGUCUUCUAUUCAUGAAAGGUAUACUUUUUUCGUGUGUCUAUAUACAUGUGUAAAGAUAAACAGAAACAGUAUGUUUAUUCUAGAAAGGGGGAAAAAGUUGUUCUUGUUGGCUAGAAAACCAUUUCAGCAUGUUCAUAAAAGGAGCCAGGAAAAAGUAACCAAACAGCGUCAAGAAAACUGCGGAAUGAAGUAAAAUACCUCCGUUCUGACUAUCCAAGAGGGCCUGGAAACGGAGAGAAGAGGCGUCGCGGCUGGGCUGGGAUUCCGUGGAGGAGGAGGAGCACCGUUGCCGGAGCCAGUGGCCUCCAAUCGGACGGCAUGAAAUACGACACCGGGCGCUCCGAUCGCAGCCAUUUCUCAAUCGUCCGAUUCCCGGGAGCAGGGUGUCUGAGAUAAAUUAGAUAUAGCAAUGGUUACUCACCCGAUUUAAGAUUCUUCCAGUUGGAGUUGAAUCAAAAAAUGCCAUUGGAGCCCGUAUUACACUACGCAGCAUGCUGUUAAAGAGCUUUUGUGAUGUCAGAAUUCCAACUACCGCCACUAGUGUGGAUCGGACCAGCACACAAAGUGAACCACCAACAGCAAGAAGUGUAUAAACUAGUAAUAUAAAAUCCAUCCCUGCUAUUAGCUCAGUACCACUUGUGGUAGGACAAGCCCAUGCCAUCCAGUAAUUACUGGCGAUCUGUAAUACUUGGAAUGUUGACUGGGCCAGAAUAAUGAUUGGAACUAAUGCACCGCCCUUCACAGUGGUCAAGUUCAGCUCUGAAUCUUGCUUGGUAUAAGCGAGUUCUGAGCUUGAUGUAAGGUUGUCACUGGCUUCAUCAUCUGGUAUUUCAUUUUGAGAUGAUUUACUUGAACUUUCAACUGUUAGGAUAGCAUCUAGAGCUUGGCUAUGAGCUCCAACCAGAACUUCAAAUCCUAUAUUCUGUACCAGAAGUUCUUCAAAUGUCCCAGCUUGCAUGAUUCUUCCAUUUUGCAUUACCUGCAGAUGUUUUUCAUUAACAGCAUGAUUACCUUUUCUUAUAAAUUAAUCAUUCAUAAUUCUAAGGAAUUCCUUAGUUGUACUUCCUAUCUUCAUAAAAGAUAUGUUGCAUGAUUUGACCAAAUAGAGUUCUUAUUUAGAUCAA